AUUGAACGCUGGCGGCAGGCUUAACACAUGCAAGUCGAGCGGGGUGAUGGUGCUUGCACUAUCACUUAGCGGCGGACGUGUGAGUAAUGCUUAGGAAUCUGCCUAUUAGUGGGGCACAACAUCUCGAAAGGGAUGCUAAUACCGUAUACGUCCUACGGGAGAAAGCUGGGGAGCACUUGCGACUUUGCGCUAAUAGAUGAGCAUAAGUGGGAUUAGCUAGUUGGGUGGUUAAAGGCCUACCAAGGGGACGAUCUGUAGAGGGUCUGAGAGGAUGAUCCGCCACACUGGGACUGAGACACGGCCAGACUCCUACGGGAGGCAGCAGUGGGGAAUAUUGGAAAAUGGGGGGAACCCUGAUCCAGCCAUGCCGCGUGUGUGAAGAAGGCCUUAUGGUUGUAAAGCACUUUAAGCGAGGAGGAGGCUCUUUUGGUUAAUACCCAAGAUGAGUGGACGUUACUCGCAGAAUAAGCACCGGCUAACUCUGUGCCAGCCGCCGCAGUAA
rnacentral:rRNA from 1 species